UCCUGGGAUCAAGCCACGCGUCAGGCUCCCUGCUCAGCGGGAAGCCUGCUUCUUCCUCUCCCUCUACUGCUCCUUUUGCUAGUACUCUCUCACUCUGUCGAAUAAAUAGAUUAAAAAAAAAGUGGGAGUGUGAACAAAUCUUGCAUCACUCAGUCCCCCACAAGGCAACUGGUUCACGCUGUGAAAGAAAAUAAUCAUGAACAAAUUCAAGUCAAUCAUGUAAAUGUUGACAUCUCCACAGCCCACUAAAUGCUAUACUGUCCCAUUCAAACAAUCCUCAUAACCCAGGCCCUCCAGGGUCUCACAUUUAGGAGCCAUGAAAGACACAUCAGAGCGCAGGACACUGUCAUUGCCUAGGGUAGAACAAACAGGACAUGGUCAGAGCCCACCGGAGAUGAGACUAGAGGAGGAGCUAUGGGGUGGGUGAGCUCCCCAUGGGGUCCUGUCUACACUAUCCCAGGGUCUCAGGGAUGACUCCCUCCAUACUUACUUUCAGUCUGCUGUGAGUAGCUCCCUCCUUUAACACUGUGGGAAGAAAACAUCAUGUCAGAGGCCAGGGAGAAGACUGGUCAUGGUAUCCAGAGGAAUACCCUAGACCUGUACCAAAAUCAGGUUUCCAGAACUGUUAACUGAAGACUCAUGGCUGUAUCAGAAAAACACGAAGAAAGGAUGUAGGGGCACUGGACCAACUGUCUUCUGGAGGUCUGUCUACAUCAGGGAAUUGCCCCUGACCUUCAACGGCUGGGGAUCAGGUCCCCACCAACAGAAUAUAAAGGUAAAAAAUUUGUCCUUCAUUUGCACAAGUCUACUAAAGAGUUAAUGUUAGCAGUUGGCUCCAGAGUAGGCAAGCACAGGUAUGUGGAUGGUACUUCUCAUUAACAAGGCAGGACAAACGUCUACCUGGGGCUUGAAACCUCUCAGUGGGAUGAGAAAACUCAAAUUCCCCUCCCACUCCCUUCCCUUAGUGCUUCUUCCUCCACAUCAAAGCUCCCACCACCACAGCUCCAGUGACCACAAGGAGAACCAGGCCAGCAAUGGUGCCCAUGAUGGGGAUGGUGGGCUCAGGUGGCAGCUCUAGGAAGGGGGAAGGUGAGGGGCUCAGACCUCAGGCUUGAGUCAUAACCUCGCAGAUGUUUUGCCGAAGAGCUACUUUCUCUGCAAAGAGGCUCCACCCCAAACCCCUCCUUAUGCCAUCUCAAGGUGAUGGGCUCGGGCAGCCCCUCAUACUGCACAUGGCACGUGUAUCUCUGCUCCUGUCCAGGAGGCACCACCACAGCCUCCCACUUCUGGAAGGUCCCAUCUCCUGCAGGCCUGGUCUCCACAAGUUCUGUGUCUUGGAUCAGGUCCUCCCCAUCACGCUGCCACGUUAGGGUGAUCUCUGCAGGGUAGAAGCCCAGCACCUCAGGGUGACAUCAUGGUCAGAGAUGGGGUGGUGGGUCACGUGUGUGUUGGGAGGUUCUGAGGAAGAAGAAUCAGAAAGUCCACACUUUGGGUUACCUUCAUGGGUCACUAUAAGCAGCACUCGUGACCAUCCUGAGGAUGGAAAGGACAAAUGGUUUAGAAGGGAAAAGCACAAAACCCUGACAACAGCCUAGACUCAGGGAUCUGGAGUAAUGUUUUAGAAGCAGCGAGAGAUCCCAGGACAGGAGAGUGCAGGUCUAGAGUGGGGAACACACUAAUGGUCCUGACUGCGGUGGAGUGUCAGUGACUCAGAAAACCGGGAGUCAGAUCUCCAAGGAUGUUCUCAGAUGGAGAACAAGACCUUGAGAGGGAAAGUCAUGGUUUACAAGGUGAUUGCCAGGAUGGAGGGACCGCUGAUGGACUAGUUCAGGGAUGGUCUCCACCUGCCUCUGGGGAGAGACUGGAUUGUCCUUUAGCGAGAAGCGGCCCUCUGGGUGAGGCCCUCUCUAGUAGGAACAGGAACACCCGGGCGGAUCUCCGUCUCCCCACCCGUGGGAGGGGCGGUGUUCUGACACGGAGUCCAUUUUCCCUUCCUGGUGGGAAGCCAGCCCCAGCGGAGGGGAGAUCCGGGAGGCCCCGCGGCCCCUGGUACCUGCGCGCUGCAGCGUCUCCUUCCCGUUCUCCAGGUACCUGCCGAGCCACUCCACGCAGGUGCCCUCCAGAUAGUUCCUGGAGCGCUCUGCCACACCGGCCGCCUCCCACCUGCGCCGGGUGAUCUGCGCCGCCGUGCCCGCCGCGGUCCAGGAGCGCAGGUCCUCGUUCAGGGCGAUGUAAUCCGCGCCGUCGUAGGCAUCACGAAGGUACCCAAGCAGGAAGCGCCCAUCAGGCCCACGUCGCCCCCUAUCAUUCUCUGGAAGUAGCCGCGCGCUUCGUUCAGAUUCCCUCGGAGAGUCUGUGUGCACGUCCUGGAGUCCCGCGUCUGCUGGGCCCAGUACUCCGGCCGCUCCUGCUCCACCCACCGCGCCCGCGGCUCCAUCCUCCGACUCGCCGCGUCGCUGUCGAACCGCGCGAACUGCACGUCGUCCACGUAGCAGACUUCCACGUACCGGGGCUCCCCGCGGCCGGGCCGGGACACGACAGUGAACAAAUACCUCAUGGAGUGGGAGCCUGCGGGCGCGGAGGGGCUGAGACCCCGCGCGACCCUCCUCCCGGCGCGGGGCCGGGGCCCAGGGGGAGGCGGCCGGGAGGGCAGGGGGCGAGGGGUUCGCGCAACGGAAAAGGGGCAGUGGGUCGGAGAAGAGUCGGGACCAAGGUGUGGGUGGGGCGGAGGUGAGGGCUCCGAGUGCCAGGCGGCGGAGCGGAGCAGCGCUUGGGUCCGGCAGCCCCCUCCCGCCUCCCACGCUGAGGCGGUUUCUCCCGCUCUCACCCGCCCAGGUCUCGGUCACGGCCAGGGCCCCGGACAGCAGCAGCAGGAGGAGGGUUGGGGGACGCAUGACUGGCAACCACCUGUUCCGGAGAGAAGCUGAGUCGCCCCGCGGCCGGUGAAAACACCCGGAACGCUGAUUGGCUUCUCUGGAACCCCGACACGCAAUGGGAGUGCGAACUGGGGUCGCGUCGUGAGGAUCCAGGCAGGAGGACCUGACAGGUUGUGAGAGGGAGAAGUGAAACCAGGGGAGAUGCGGACUCCCUAACACUGGGCUUUCCCGCCCAAGACACCGCCCUCGCGCGGGGACGCUGAGAGACGGGCCCAGGGAUUUGUGACUUUGUCCUAACCCCUCUUUUCCUGCACUGAGUGGUAUCAAUAUUUACCAUACUAGGAAUAAAAGAGGUUUUAAACUUU